rnacentral:rRNA from 1 species
CCUACGGGUGGCUGCAGUGAGGAAUAUUGGUCAAUGGCCGGAAGGCUGAACCAGCCAUGCCGCGUGAAGGUCAGUGCCCUAUGGGCGUUAAACUUCUUUUGUGCGGGAGCAAUAAUGGUUACGUGUGGCCAGACGAGAGUACCGUUCGAAUAAGCAUCGGCUAACUCCGUGCCAGCAGCCGCGGUAAUACGGGGGAUGCAAGCGUUAUCCGGAUUUAUUGGGUUUAAAGGGUGCGUAGGCGGAAUGCCAAGUCAGCGGUAAAAUAGCGGGGCUCACCCGCGCUCCGCCGUUGAAACUGGAGAUCUUGAGUGGGCGAGAGGUAUGCGGAAUGCGUGGUGUAGCGGUGAAAUGCAUAGAUAUCACGCAGAACACCGAUGGCGAAGGCAGCAUACCGGCGCCUAACUGACGCUGAAGCACGAAAGCGUGGGUAGCGAACAGGAUUAGAUACCCUUGUAGUC